ensembl:lncRNA
AGGGCCAAAUGCUUACUGGCAAACAUGUUAAUGUAAGCUCAGUCAUCUCUAGGCUUCCAGCACCAUGAUGGAAGAAGGUAAUGAGGUCAUGGGUUGUUUUUUUAGGUUCUGAAGAUUGACUUUGAGAACUGAGGAAAGGUAAACAAAGGAUUAUUUAUUAAAUGAAGAAAGGAUUAUCCAUUACAGGGUAAAUCUUGCUUGCCUUACAUGUACAAAUAGUUCCCAUUGACUACGAACAAGUCAAAUACUUACAUAAGACAUUCGUAACUUUUUAUGUAACCUUAUAAAACUGCGUAUGUACUCCUCUGUCCUGGGCUUAAGAAGCAUACAACAGUUAGGCAGGUCACUAGGUGCAUAGUGAAACAGAGCAGCCUCAAUUUUUUUUAUUUUUUAUUUUCUGCUACAGAUAUCUUCAAAGACAGGUUUAAACAAGAAAACCUUAACCACAAGGCAAAUUUAUCUAGAGAAAAAUAUCCAGAUAACUAAGCAUGUUUCAUGGGAUACUCUCAAUCCCAGUUUGAACAGUGUGGAUGGGAAAAGGAGAGGAGGACCAAGGCAAAGAAUGAAAAAAUUUAGGAGGUAUUUAAAUGGAAAGUUUCUCCUCCUCCCGCACAUUCCUCAAAGUCUUUCAGGACAUAGGGCAGGGCUAGCCCAGGAGCAGGUCUUACUGGGUAAUGUAACCUUUAUUAUAAGAUACCAAUUCAUUUCAGAAUAAUUUUCUUCCAGCCAGCCAGCCAUAGGUACUCAAGGAAGAUUAACCAGAAUGCAAUUGGUUUCAGCCCUUAUCCAACAACAUGUGCUAAAUACCACAAUUAUACAGGAUACUGUGAACCAUCAACUUAGUGAUGUCCUUACCUAAUCUCAGCUGUCUUGUCUCUGGGCAGAGCUUUUCCCAGGUACAAGUGCAGCACUGCUGAGGAACCAGGAGGACUGAGGUGCUUUUGUCAUUCCCUGCACAGCGCUGCCUGGAUUUGUAUGCUCCAUGCUGCAUGGGGGCUCAGCUCCUGCCCCAGUGAUAGCUUGUAUGGCUUAUAAGUGGUGUUAUGCUCUGUAUAAUAGAUACAAAAACUGUUCUCAUCAUCCUUCAUCCUUAUUGAUUCAAUCAGAAAUCACCCUGCUUUAUGUUUCCCAUAGUUUAUCUCAGGAAUGCGUAAAUAAUGGCCUUUCAUAAAUAGAGAAGGAAAUGUUCAGCCUCCUUUUUUAACUUUAUUCAGAGGAACAGCUGAAUUCAAAAAGAUUUGGAUGUUUUCCCCUCUUUCUUUGAAAAGUCAGCUACAGAAAUGGAGAAGAGCAGCCUUGAAUCACUACUAGACAAGUGCAUUCAGUGCUGCUCUGGAGUAACUCACAGACAUUCCUUCCCCUGUGGUGAAAUAUUUUGAAAUCCCUCAUUUUUGUCUGAACGGCAAAUGCCAAAACCUCAGUGUCUUGCUUCACAGCAAGAAGUAGGAAGUUAAGAUUAUGGAAAAGAGAGGAUUUCCACAUUCAUGUGGAAGUAGACAGCAGUUACUUUCAGUCCUCUGACCUCCUGUAGCACUAAGAUAUCAAGAAUUAGAAUCAAGAUACUGUAUGGAAAGUUUGUCAAGUGAAUGAAUUCCUUAGAGCUUUCUUGACCAUUACCUUUGAUUUUUCUUUAAAGAUGGCUUAGUUACACUUAGAUGUUCUUCAUCUGCACCUAAAGAAGUGCCAGGAAAUUGUCACAGCAGAUAUCAAGUACUCCAUGCUAACUCUUUCAAAAACAGGGGUGGGAUGGGGUGGGAGGAAAGGUAAAAUGAUGUAUUUGCUCAAUUCCAAGUUGGAAUGCAUUUCCUUUCUUGAUCACAACGCAUACUGCCAUGGUCCAACCUGUCACACAUAAUCUGAGUUCAGUCUGCAGCUUGACCUAUGCUUGUGCUGUAACUUGUGCAGAUUCUGUUUUAUAUCAACUCAGUUUUAAGGCAUUUUUUAUCCAGCUAACAUAUUGGACUAGGCUCUUCCUUACAUCUUUUCCAUGAUAAAUGCAGUCUUUCCUUGUGCAGCUCCCCCAGAGUGUGGCUGCCAAGAUUACACUCUUAGACCGUGGUUUUGAGUACAGCCCUCUUCCCUCAGCAUCUCUUCACUAUCUGCUUGCUUGAAGUCUGAAGGCUCUGCUUCACCCCUCUGUUAGUCACUACUGUGGUAUCUCCAUCCAGUGUGUGAUGCCAGGCCUUAUGAUUGAUCUCUUGUUUUAUCCAAAUAUGCGUGGUCAUAGCAAUCUGUAAAUACACAGAAAGUUGCUUCACUGCUGUCCUUCAAAGUCUUUUUCAUAAACAUGCCACCAGUCCACCACCUUGGGAGGGGUGAUGUUGCGAGUGUGAUGGGCCAGGUUGUUUCACCAGAUCUGUGAGCUUCUAUGCCUGUCUGCAGUUCUAAUUUCUCUUCUGUAGCUUGUGGUCUGGCCCUUCACUUUGCUCUGAGUCUGCGUGCCAUUGAGCAUGGUGGUGGGGAGGAUGUAUUGAGCACAAGCGCUCCUCUGUCUCCCAGGUGUCCCAUCAAUUAAACUAAAUUACACUGUCAUCACGUAAGCUUCUUUUAAGGAAGUGAUGAGCCUGGUCCAUGUUAGCUGGGUAUCUACAUGCCAUUUCUGUUGGUCCCUAGGAUGUUAGUUAAGCUGGGUCUUGAUUUACAGAGGAUUUCACCGUGAAGCUUAGGGUUAUGCUGCAUUCCUCAAUUAAUUUGCAUUGCCCAUCUAAACUGAACUUAAUGGAAUGGGGAAUCAGUGAUGCAUGCUGUACAUGCUGAACAUGCUGUAGGUAGCAAUUAAUUUGCAGGAGUAGAAGAUGUAAAGAGGGGCCUGUCUUCUGUACUUCCAUUUAGCUUCUGAGAAAGAAUAUUGUGAGAAAUACUUCCUUAAGGGAGCUCUGGGCUUUGGUUCAUCCGAGGAGGAUAUUACCUGGAAAGAGGUCAGGAGGGCUCCUUGAGGAAUCUUCCUGCAAAGGAGAGCUGCCCAUGUUUCUGUAACAAGGUGCCAGGUAGUUUGUGGCCUGAGAGCAUCUACAUCCUAGGUGAUAUGAGAUACUGAAAUGGCUGUACCCUUCUGAGUUAGAUGGGAGGAUCUAAGUAGGGAAAGGAAAACAGAAAGAGUUUUUGUCUAUUCUCUAGUUAGUUCCUCAAUCACCGUUCUUCUCUUUCCUGCUCCUCACUUGACAUUGACAGUUUAUACAUAUUUGGCUGCUUUGCAGAGACUAACUUAUGAGCUUUUUUGUCUUUUUCCCCCUUAAAGAGCCCUGUCACAGGCAUAGAUAGGGGAUGAAAGUUUUAGCCCCUCAUUGACUUUCAGGUUGUGCUUAUUGCGUAUUGACCAGAAAGUGAUCUGUACAAAAUUGAGAUAGCAGACCUGUGGUCCCUAGAGCUUGCAUACACAAACUUGAGGGGUGUGCACAGGUGAACACAGGGUUUUCUGAAAUGGGGGUUGCAAAUGAAACUUAUGCCAGAUGUAUCUUUUUCCUAUGUUAGAUAAUGCAAAGGGAAAUCACAGGAUUCAAAUUUAGUUCAACUGGAAUCAGUUCUGUGCUUUUCCGUGUAUGGUCAAUUCUCCAAACUGGAGCAAUUAUUGGUACAACCCAGACAGCAUAUAAUUUCUGUACAAUCAUGGAAAUACUGUUCACAUUUCCUCUCAGAUCCCUCCCAAAAUCUAAAAAGAAUAAGGCAGAAUAAAGAAUGGGAGAUGUGAUAUUUUUCCUUCUAGCUCUGUCUCUCUCUUGCAACUGCUUUCCAUUUCUGUGGGUUUGAAGUAUUUGCUUUUAAAAAACAUUUCAUUAAAACAAGUAUUAAGGGUUUUACAAUGGCUUUGCUGUAAUGCAGUUUUAAGUAAAGAUAAAUCUGUGAACUACUGUAAUCUGACAAUGAUGUUUCCUUGGAAUAACCACCAAAUUCACCUUUCAUUAAAAAAAAAAGAAAAAAAGAUUUUUUGAAGGUCACAUCUUCAUUGGAUUUUCUUAUUAGCUGUUUUGUCAUGUUAAAUUUGCUUUCACACCUUGCAGCUUAUUGUAUGCUAUGCUUCAUGAACAGUAUGCAAUUUUCUAGCACUAACAAUUUUGUAGUGCUAAUAAUGCACACAUUGACAUGCACAGUGCUAUACAGAGCUCUGCCAACUAAAAGUGGCUUUCAAGGAAAGGUAGAAAAAGAUCUCCAUGGUUUAUUAUACCUCAUUAAGCUUUCUAAUGAGCUAUAGCUAUUAAUUCUAAGGAAUUGGUAUCCUAAAACUUGCUUUAUUUUAUCUAGUUCUUUUCUCACACGUCACAUUACUGAACAUCGCUUGUGAAGCGUUUUCCACUGGAAGGUAAUUCCAGUGCCCCUUUUUCAUUGGAUGUUGUCAACUGUAAUCCAAACUUACGUAGUAGAAAUGAAUGACUGAUUGUUUUUCUUUAGUAAAAUUAUAGAUAUUUCUAGAGAGGGAAUUUUGAAACCAUUGGGAAGAGGCGAAAGCACAUGAGUAGGUGCAAGCCUGGAGAUAAAGGCCUGAAGAAGAUCAGCAGUACUCUGGAAAAACCCUUUGAAGUGAAACUGGAAGUUUGAGCCAUUUGUCGUGUUGGCCAUGGCAGAUGAAACUCUCGAUGGAAUAAGUUCUUUCCCUCUGCUUAGCACCCAGGACUGACGUCCAGCCUCAUUAUGAUAUAUUCUUGAUUAGCACUAAAGUCCAGGUUAAUUUAAUUUUAUAAUUUUUAACCUUCACACAGUUUUGUGUUAUGUAACAGAUCUCGCAUCCUGAGUCUGUCUGACAUCCUCAGUUAACUGAAACUCAGGCUGUGGAACUCCAUCCAAUCAACUGGAAACUUUCUGAGGUGCACACAAAGCACUGCAAGGCUCGGGAUAAGAGCUGAGAGCAGGUUAAGUGCUUUGCCAUACUCACACCAAUUCAAUGUGAAUUCAGCAGCUGCUUGGGAUUAGGUCUCCCUUAUUGAGAAAGACAGGAGCUUUCCUGGAGUCAUGAAAUACUCCGUGGAAACAAAUUAGUCCCAAGAAAAGUGAUUUUUAUUCUUGGACUCAUUAUAAGCUGUAAGAGCUGGAUUCAACUUGGUACUUAAGGCUGUGCAGAUCUGGAUCUCAAGUGCUGCCAUUUAUUUGACACAGUUUAAAGCCACAACUUUAGCUGCAAUUCAGAGCAUGAAAAAUAGUUUCCACUGGAUUCCUGUAGUUUCGACUUCAUCACUUGAGUUACAAUGAUUUCUUGUUGUGCCUGAACAGAGUCCACAAACUCUGCAAUUUACUGCUUCCUGCAACAGUCUGACAUGGUCCCCUGUGGGAGAAAAAUAAGUUAAGCACAGAACUUUUUCCUCUUAAGGAAUUAUAUUGAUCUUGCAGAUGCUGAGUUGACUUACUGUGUUUUUCCUUAGAGUGCUUGGCUGCAGAUCCACUUAAGAAUGAUGGACAAUACGCUGGGUCUGCAAUAACAUUGACUCAAAAUUCCUUGCUCAUUGUGAGAUAACUUCCUAAAGAUUGCGAGCAAAAGGAAGUCAGAGAACAAAGCAAUGUCAAGUAUGCACAUGUCACAACACAAUGCGCUGAUUCCAAGUCUUUGGAAACAUGCUGAAAGAUGUCUGGAAAAAAAAAAAAAAAGAAGAAAAAAAAAAAAAAGGAAAUGCUUUCACACAGAAUUUCGACAUGAAAACAACAGCUGAAUGUGCCUGUUCCUGCCAGGAAAAAAUACCCUGAAAAAACAAAAGGUGCUGGAAAACUAGAAAUGAAAUCAUCACAUGCUACACAAGAGGAUAUGAGCAGAGAUCAAGCCCAUUGAAAACAAACCGAGAGGUUGACCAGCCUACUGGAUGUUUUGGUCAAAUUCGAGUACGUCACUGAGAUACUGAGCAAGCUCAAAACAGAACAGCUGAUUGCUUUGAAGAGCCAACACUUGAAAUUACUUAAAGCACUCUUCUACCAAAGAGACAGAAGACAGCUUUCAUAUUCUCGAGUCAUCCUACAAAGUCCUGCGUGAAAUAGACUACUGCAGCCUACAGGCAUCAUAGAAAUAUUUCAGUCAAGACCACAAGUUCCACUCUUGCCCCUAUGCUUAUGCUAAUGUGCACGAUCUCUUUGAUGAACAACAGCAAGGAGACUGGAUAGCUUGAGGUGUAAUUGAUGGGAUGCUGAAGGUCUGGCUGUUGUUUUGGUGGUUAUUUUUAUAGAUUAUAAAGGAACUGACCAUGCAGUGCUACCUCAACUUGUGGCUGAAUCUAACAGCUUCAUGGACUCAGCCCUCCAUUUAGCCCAUUUGGUCAAAUUAGGCUGGUGGUAACUGAAAGCUGUGACCAGCUGAUGGCUAUGUUGAAUGAUAGCUUGUGGAAAUCUCCUUAGUGGACUCAGACCAAAUUUUACUGACAGAAUCUCACUAUCUCCAAGCAAAUUCCUCCAAAAUAAAUGCUAACUCAAGGCUCAGGGGCAACCACAGGUUUAAAGACAAGGAGGGUGAACUUGUGUCUUCUCUAGAAGUAUUUUCUGUAAGCCAGCAAUGAAGUGAAAAAAAGGCACAUUUGUGUCAGCACCACCCAGGCUGUCAAUAAAGAACUCCUGCCCUCAGAACUAUCAAAUCAAAUUCAUAUGAAUUUCCCACUCUUCCAAAACCACUUUCCCACAGGGAAGAAGGGAUCACAAAAUUAAACAGCAUUCCCUUCUUCUCACAUCUUUGUAAUCUGCAAGCACUGUGCCUGUCACAGUGCUCCCAGGAGGUUUCCUUAACCAUAAUGUCUCAUCUCUGCAAACAGCUGUUUCCCUUUUGCACAAGAGUUCUUGGAGAUAUGCUUCACUUAUCAGAACUAUACCACUGAAAAGCUGGUAAAUAACCAAGUUCUGUUGGAAAGAUGAAAUUGCACUGCAGAUAGAUGGAUUUGCUUAACCUAUAAAAUAAUUCUGAGAUAGCUAUUGUUUUGGCAAAAUUCUAAAAUGUAACAAAGUUUGAUUGUUCUUGGCUUCUCCUAAUUUGCUUACUUUGGGGUAAUAGCUGGCCUUCAAUAUGCAUGUUAGUCUCGUUACUGUUAAGUUAAAUAUAUACACACAUAUCUAAGAGAGGUUUGACCAUUUACUGUCAGUGUUCCAAGGUUAGCUGAAGUCUGGACCUAUUACUUUCUCUGUGCUCCACUAAUUGAGACCAAGGCUUAUGCAAGACUUCCUUGGGGAUCACAGGGUCUGAGGUUUUUAUAGUCCACAAGGCUAAAAUUCAAAUAUGAACCACAGCUGUUUGGAUGGAAGUCCUGGACCUCAUCCUUUUGAACUAUAGUGACCUGCUCAGCCUUGCCAUCAUGUGAAACUCAGAAAUCCCUGCACAGAUGAUGACUGGGAUGUGAAAAUUGCCUGCCAAGCAGACCUGGGUAAAGUGAUUGGUUUACAGUGCUCUGGGAUUUGCAGGUGAAAGGACUGCUCUCUCACUCUCCUCUGCUACCCUCUUCCCCUCCAUUUCUGUACAUAUCAUUCUUUUAUAUAUAUAUAUAUAUGCAGAUUUGAUUCCACAUUCACCACCCAAACAGCUGAAUUGAUGUUCCUAUUGAAGAUGGUGAAGUUCCUCCCUUCUGCCAAGUACAGUUAUUUUUAUGAGUCCCCAGUAAGAGGUAAAGUAAGAGAAACAGGGUGUGGGAUAAACUAGUUAAUCUAUUUAAAUAGGGAUAGACCUCUAGCGCCCUAACACUUAAAUACUUUGUCUUCACUCGGCUGUGCUAUAUUUUAACUGGGGACUACAACCAGGACAAACAAGCGUGGCCUUUUCCUACUGUGGAUUGUCAUGCGAAAAUAUUUGUGAAGGGGUGGAGUAAACAUUUUUGGGGAUCACACUGCAAGAGGAGAUAUAUGGGAACUCACUGUGAUGCAAAAGGAAAUCAUGUGUUACUCCACAGAUGAUGUGAUUGGCAUUGUGAGCUCAGAUGCGUAAAGACUAUCGAGGCAAAAAAAUCAAGAUUGAAGCAGAAUGAAAUGCUCCUUUCUUCGGUAAGUCAGUGGGAGUCAUAAAUACUUCUGCAUCAGCUAGGAAAGCUACAAAAAACUAAAUCACAACUCUAUUUUCAUGCUGAUGCAUGCACUUUAAAGUAAUAUAUAUAAAAAUGCCUUCCUUUUGGCAUAACUGCAAUUACAUAAAUAUUUAGAUUUAUACUAAUAAGUAAUUUUGCAGAAGUUUAAAAUGAUAGGCUGCGUGAUAGCUAUUUAAGGGGAUGGGCAGCCCACCUUCCAGUGGCCACAGUGACUUCCAUCAAGUCGUAAUUGCAGGAGAGGGUGCUUCUGGAAAUUAAUGGUGAAUCUUAUAUUCCCUUGCAUUUAGAAUCCAAAUCUAUUAUUUCAUUACUACUGUUAAUUAUAUAACAAUCAUAUAAUAAUUAUAAAAAUAAUUAUAUAAUAACUAUGUCUGAAUAAAUAAUAAGCAUUUUCAAUAUUAAUGACUGCCUAGCAAGCAAGGCAAAGCAGAUCUUAAUCUGGUUUGAGUUUCUAUCCUUACACAUUCAUUUUACUCUUGCAAAGCAUAUUAAAUACUAUGGAAUGUAUAAAAAAGGCCACAAUUUCUUCUCUAUUGGUAUACUGAAAGUCUUUGUGUGUCCAAGGUAAUAGGAAUUCCCACAUUCGUGCUUACUGUAAAAUACAGCAAGCAAAAGCUAGAUAAAUUCUGUUUAAUAUGGAAAUAAUUUUGGCUGCAUCUUUGGCUUUGUAUGACAUGGAAACUGGUGAUUGUUUAUGCUUUGCUACUUUUUUUGGUCUGCAUUAAAAUCCCACAUGAGAAACAAAUUUUUCUCUAGGAACAAAAUGUUACUUUUUUGGGACUGAGUUCUAAUAAGUUGGGUAGUACGUCUGCUUCUUUUCAGCUGGGAAAUUGCAAUGCAUAUAAAAUCCAGAUGGAUAACACAUGAGGCUGGAAGCAGCCUUGGCCAAUCAGCCACGUCACUUGAUUAAAAGAAACCUAUAAUAAUUUAAGUAAAAAUAGUACCCUAACAAAGUAACAGAGCAACAAACUGGCUGCAGCAUGCGAUUUCAUCACAGUUCCAAUAUUGCUUUACUUUUGCUGGUUGGUCCUUUCAUAUCUUAUUGUAAAUUAACCUAUUUGCAUUAAGCGUGCAUGGAACUUGUGAUUAAAGCCCCAAAAUGUCAGUGAUGGAAGAUACAUGAUAAGCAGGAUGAGGGGGUAAAUCCAUCACCAGACUACAGAAGGCCACAAGGACCUAUUGCUCUUAGGGCAGUGGUGCACUUGAAGAACUCAGCUGAGAGUUUUGCCAUGAGGAAUCACCUACCCUGGCACGUGCCACACUAGUGCAGACCAGUACUUUUUGUAUGGAUUUUGUCUGUGACUGUCAGAAAGCAAGUAAGUGCAUCAAUGCAAUUACAAGGUCACUCUGCGGAAAAACUCCUGACUAUCCCGCGAGAUGCAGCAGAUUUGUGGGUGAGACUGUCUAAGGCAGCCUGUGAAGAAGUCACAGACAGGACUUGCAGAGGGAUGGAGCCACAUCUGGAAUCCCUGUGGGCAAUUGAAGGAAUGUUUAUUAUUCUUUGUUUAUUAUUUUGAGUGUGUACUCUCCCUCUUCCUUUCUUUGUCUCUCUUUGUUAUUUGUGUAAUAAAAUUCCUCUAGGCAUACAAAGUAAGUAAGUCAUCUGGAAUUGUGCAGUUCCCUCUGCCAGGAAGCUGGAAAAGCCUCUCGUGCAGAGACAAAAAUAUGGGCUCAUCUCAAACACUGAGAAAUUACAGAAAUAUUCACCAUUUGCCUUUGAGUUAUAUUUACAUAGGAAAGAACUGUGGCAAAUACGUGUGCUUCUUGCUGUUAAAAAAAAUUGGCUUUUAUCCUGCCCAAGGUGUUGUGUUUAUUUAAAGGUUGUUGAGAAAUAAUUUGUACGUUCUAAAAUAAAGCAUGCAAAAUACAUUAAAAGGGCCCAGUGACAAAGUUGUUUUUUUUUUUUUGCCAGUGGGUGUGGAGAAGGAAAAGGAAAUGAGUAAGUAGAGAGGAGCGUCUUUAUGGCCACAUGGCUAGUGAAAAUUUCUAUUUAUUCUUUGGGGAAAAAGCAAAGUAGCUGCAUAGUUGCUGGUUGGAUAGGUGCCGGGACUAUUUUUAUUGGCAGGCAGCUCUGAGUGGCUGAAAGGCGGUCAUUAACACUCUGACACAAAGUGCUGACAGGGCGAUUAUAAGAUUAACACCCUAUGUUAUAUUAACAGUGUCAAAACCUCCCCGUACCUGUCAGUGAGAAAUAAUGGCACGAAGGAAAACAUUAUAGACAUGCUGAGACUUUAGCAUUGAAAUACCAUGCAGCUAUUCACUUUUUGAAAUUGAUCUAAAUAUCUAGAUGACCUACUGAAGGCUCAUAAAAUAAUGUGAUUUAAAUGGCAGCUUCACCAAAUCAAAAAAUGAAUGCAAAAGUUAAGCCGCCCAGCUUACUUACUCUCUUGUUGACACUUUUAGCCCUGAUCUCCCUGGCAGUGGGUCUCUCACAACUGCUGCCUUUCAGUAGAGUUAUGGUUUGAGAUCUCAUAAAUUUAGGAUUUGACCUUAGGACUUUUGACAAAAACAGAGCUUUUCUGGAGAAUAUUAUUACUGGUCAAAAUUCAACCUCGGUCUUUCUCCAGGACUGCUAGUCAUCAUAGACUGGUUUUAUCAGUGAGAGCCUUUGGACCAUAAGGACCAAUCUGCAUUUAAAAUGUCUCUGCUCCACGUUCAUUAGAACUGGAAUAGCAAACCCUCUGGCAUAGCUGUCCUGGAGAAUAUCCAAAGAAUGGCAACGAAACCAGUGAAGUUUCUGGAUCACAAGUCUUAUGGAGAGCAACUGAGGGAAAUGAGAUUGGUCAUUCUGGAGAAGGUGAGGUUCGGGGAAGACCUUAUCACACUCUACAGCUGCCUAAAAGGAGGUUGUGGUGAGAUGAGGGCUCUUCUCCCAGGUUUCAGUGAUAGGAUGAGAGAUGAUGACCUUAAAUUGCACCAGGGGAGGUUCAAGUUGGAUAUUAGGGAAAAUUUCUUCUCAGGAGUGGUGAUGCACUGGCACAGGCUGCUCAGGGAGGCGGUAGAGUCACUGUCCCUGGAGGUGUUCAAGAAAAGGGUGGGUGUGACACUGAGGGACAUAAUCUAGAGCAGUCGUGGCCAUGGCUUGAUGGUUGGACUAGAUGAUCGUAGUGGUCUUUUCAACCUUGAUGAUUCUAUGAUAGCUUCAGCUAGACUGCCUUAUGCUGCCUUAAGUUCUGCCAGUUUUGAUUAAGAGGAUAAGCCAGGAGAAAAAAAGUUCUUCCUGUAAGACUAAAUCUGUACCUUCACUAGUAAAAAAUAUUGUUCAAGUGUUGCCAGGCAAAGCAUUAUUUCUGUAUUUUUAUUAUUAUAUUUUAUGUUGUAUAUGAUGAUAAUACAGUCUAUAUAUUUUUGUCUGUAAGACUGAUAAAUAAAAUGCAAAUUAAAUAUUCUUCUAAUACUUUGGUUUCUAACCAAAUAAAGACAUGGUCAAAUCAC